rnacentral:rRNA from 1 species
CCGGAGGGGGUAUUGCCCCCCUGGGACUGGCCCGCCCCAAAUUCGUAGGGAGGCAGCAUUUGGAAUUUUCCGCAAUGAGAAAGUUCGACGGAGCACGCCGUGAACGAUUAAGGUUUUGAAUCGUAAAGUUUGUUAUAGGAAAGACCCCCGGGAUACCUCCCCGUUUGACGGUACCUAACGAGAAAGCCCCGGCUAACUACGUGCCAGCAGCCGCGGUAAUACGUAGGGGGCAAGCGUUGUCCGGAAUUAUUGGGCGUAAAGCGCGCGCAGGCGGCUUCUUAAGUCAGGUGUGAAAGCCCACGGCUCAACCGUGGAGGGCCACUUGAAACUGGGAGGCUUGAGUGCACGAGAGGACAGCGGAAUUCCACGUGUAUCGGUGAAAUGCGUAGAGAUGUGG